rnacentral:piRNA from 1 species
UGGGACUUAAAAAUAGAGAUUUGUCUCAGGU